rnacentral:snoRNA from 1 species
ACACUCCCAAUUCCUGACCCAUCAGAUUAAAACCCUGAUCUGAGUGGGUAUUCAAGGAGGACAAGUACAAUGGAAAUGGACUCAAAGCUUGUGUUUUUGAGGACAUACGAGCUAGCAUCUACAAACC